AUUGAACGCAGGCGGCAUGCCUUACACAUGCAAGUCGAACGGCAGCACGGGUGCUUGCACCUGGUGGCGAGUGGCGAACGGGUGAGUAAUACAUCAGAACGUACCUUAUCGUGGGGGAUAACGCAGCGAAAGCUGUGCUAAUACCGCAUACGCCCUGAGGGGGAAAGCGGGGGAUCGCAAGACCUCGCGCGAUUAGAGCGGCCGAUGCCUGAUUAGCUUGUUGGUGGGGUAAAAGCCCACCAAGGCGACGAUCAGUAGCUGGUCUGAGAGGACGAUCAGCCACACUGGGACUGAGACACGGCCCAGACUCCUACGGGAGGCAGCAGUGGGGAAUUUUGGACAAUGGGGGCAACCCUGAUCCAGCAAUGCCGCGUGAGUGAAGAAGGCCUUCGGGUUGUAAAGCUCUUUUGUCAGGGAAGAAACACCGGCUCUAACACAGUCCGGGAAUGACGGUACCUGAAGAAUAAGCACCGGCUAACUACGUGCCAGCCGCCGCGGUAA
rnacentral:rRNA from 1 species